AUUUAUGCAGUAGUGAUACAAUGAAGUAGUUGUAUGCUGUCAACUUAAUGUGACAGUCCCCUGAAGGGAAUAAUAUUACUGUUGGUUGCACCGCUUCUUAUCAGCCUUGACACAUUUCCUGUGUCCUUAUGUCUACAAGGGUGGAGGUGCUUGUCUUCCCCUUGUAAACAUAAGGACACAGGAAAUGUAUCAAGGCCGACAGGAAGCAGUGCAGCUUCCUAGGUCUAACCAACAGUAGUAUUAUUCCCUUCAGGGGACUGUCACAUUAAGUUGACAGCAUACAACUA
rnacentral:SRP_RNA from 1 species